AUGGCUGGGGGUCCCAGCCCCCGAGGCUGGUCUUGCUCUGACAUGGUUGCCAUACCUGAGAGAGGAAAGUGACUCAAGUUCUGGGCCUACGAUGCCUGCUCCAGACUAGUGACUGUGGCAGAUUAUGCCAGCCCAGAUCUGGCAAUCAUGAGGUCUGGAUGAGUCAAGAAGGAAGUCACUAAUGCUAUUUAGCAGGAAGUAAAACCUAUUUGUGGCUUAAAAGCCUUCCAGAUUCCUUUAGAGGAAGCUUUUUUUUUUUUUUUCUGGGACAGGUGAACACUGUGACAUCAUCAACAGCAGUGAUGAGAUGGAUCCAGCUUAGGAGGAAAACAUCCAUGAGAGAACUUGUCUCUAGAAAAAAGAAAAGAAAAAGGAAACAGGAGACCUAGACGGGGCUGGAACAACAUAGUGUCCCAUGGAUAUUUUACUAUUUCCCGCCUCCUACGUCUGUCCUGAGGAUAUUGUGAAAUUUUUCUUCAUUUGUAAAAAUGCCUGGACUGUCACUUGUACUGCUGCCUUUUGGAUCAGGUUAUAUCAAAAGCAUUACAUGCUGAAUGCUUUUCAGCCUUUGCACCUGUGACCACAGUCAAUGGGGAAGCUGCAGUCUCUGGGCAUAUGUGAUCCAGUCUCUGUACUGUAUAAGUGAUUUGUGGCUCAACUCUCCAAGAAUCCAGCCAUUGCAGAAGCCACUCCCAGCACAUUAAAGAAUUCCAAAUGCUUACUUUUCUGGUGCAGAAUGGGCCCAGAGAAGAACCGAUGUGGGAAAUCAACUUCAAGUUCAAAAAACAGGCCCCUACGUUAAAGAGCAAUGUACGGGAGGAUUGCAGUCUCUCUUUCAGUAUGAAGAUGUUCACACCAACUCAGUCCAGGUGUGCUGCCUAUUGUAGGUCACCACCCUCAAUUUCAUCUUU
rnacentral:lncRNA from 1 species